GGAGGAUUCAAGCGUUAUCCGGAUUUAUUGGGCGUAAAGCGAGUGCAGGCGGUUCAAUAAGUCUGAUGUGAAAACCUUCGGCUCCACCGGAGAAUUGCAUCAGAAACUGUUGAACUUGAGUGCAGAAGAGGAGAGUGGAACUCCAUGUGUAGCGGUGGAAUGCGUAGAUAUAUGGAAGAACACCAGUGGCGAAGGCGGCUCUCUGGUCUGCAACUGACGCUGAGGCUCGAAAGCAUGGGUAGCGAA
rnacentral:rRNA from 1 species